UUUCGAUUUUUGGGGGGUUUGGCUUCAUGAAAACGGUGCGAAAUGGCCCCCAUGCUUUUAUACUCGUCGUAACGUCAUUUUAAAUGCAAAUCUAUGCUAAAUGAAAUUUAUGUGAAUUUUAGAACACUUAAAAUGCAUGUGUUAUGUGUAAGAUAAUUUUCACUCUAUGUAGUAGAGCAUUCUGGAUAUUGUUAUAUGCAUUUGAGUAGUGUUCGCACUAGUCGUUUGGAAACA
rnacentral:lncRNA from 1 species